AUUGAACGCUGGCGGAAUGCUUUACACAUGCAAGUCGAGCGGCAGCGCGGGGCAACCUGGCGGCGAGCGGCGAACGGGUGAGUAAUGCAUCGGAACGUACCCCGUCGUGGGGGAUAACUACCCGAAAGGGUAGCUAAUACCGCAUACGACCUGAGGGUGAAAGCGGGGGACCGAAAGGCCUCGCGCGAUGGGAGCGGCCGAUGCCGGAUUAGCUAGUUGGUAGGGUAAAGGCCUACCAAGGCGACGAUCCGUAGCUGGUCUGAGAGGACGACCAGCCACACUGGAACUGAGACACGGUCCAGACUCCUACGGGAGGCAGCAGUGGGGAAUUUUGGACAAUGGGCGAAAGCCUGAUCCAGCCAUUCCGCGUGAGUGAAGAAGGCC
rnacentral:rRNA from 1 species